UACGGAGGGUGCAAGCGUUAUCCGGAUUCACUGGGUUUAAAGGGAGCGUAGGUGGGUUGGUAAGUCAGUGGUGAAAUCCCCGAGCUUACUUGGGAACUGCCAUUGAUACUAUCAGUCUUGAAUACUGUGGAGGUUAGCGGAAUAUGUCAUGUAGCGGUGAAAUGCUUAGAUAUGACAUAGAACACCAAUUGCGAAGGCAGCUGGCUACACAAUUAUUGACACUGAGGCUCGAAAGCGUGGGGAUCAAACAGG
rnacentral:rRNA from 1 species